UUCAGAAGUAAAUGAAGGGCUUUUCCAAGA
rnacentral:piRNA from 1 species